UCCCAGAAGCUGUACUUCCUCCGGCCAGAUAGUCAUGAAAACCAAGCCUUGGAGAGUGGGCGCGAGUGAUAAAGAACAUCUCAUGCCCACCGCCUGAGCCCACGCUGGGGCAACCCAUGGACUGUGCCUGAGGUCCUAGAUAACUAUGAAAACCAGGCCACAGAGUGCGCGUGUGAGUGGUAAAGAAGCACAUGAAGUAAUGUGUGGAACGCUCUAGUUGUAAUUGGCUGAAUUUAGCUUAAAAACUCAGGUCUGGCACGGCAAAAUCGCUCAUCUCCCGAGGGCCCAAUGGAGACAGCAUCGUGCCGAGAAAUAACAUCGUGCCGAGAAAUAAUCUGCGUGGACCCCACAUGGAUGCUCAUGUGGACACCCAUUGCCAGGGCUCAGCUCCAGUUGAUCCAAAGCAAGGAACAUCGAGUCCUGUUUACCUGCGCUGCCAGAAGCCAGGCUAUGCCUGCCAGACCAGAAAGAGCCCGAGCUUGAAACAGAGUUUGUCAGCAUGCUGGCAUCGUCCCAGGGUGCUGCCCAUGCCUUCUGCCAACGCUGGCUCGACGCAAUCUGGAAAGUCUGGUACUGGAGAGGAGCUGGUAGAAGACAAUGAAAGCAGAAAGGCUAGCCAACUGUAAGGACUGGCAACUGCCACACUCACCACGACACCAUUGAGCACUGUGCCUGGCACACAGUUGGAGCUUCAAAGAUGCUCACUGAGUGAAUGGACGAAACCUUCCAUUAUACUGCAGCUAGAAGUUACGAUUGUAAAGUAUGGACCGGAUCCCUCUCAGCUGGAAACCCUGGCAACUUCUCUGAAAUCGCUGCCUUAAUUUCCCUUUCAGAAAUCAACACCCAUGAAAUGAUGCUUUGGAUCUGAAGUCCAUGCUACCUCAUGAUGAGGAGUGUACACACUCGAUUCCCUAACUAAUGAUGUUGCUUUUGAAAGAUAUAAAAACUUUGGGAUGUGAGGCCAGGUUGAUGAUGUUAUUAGCCACUACAAGCGGAACUUUGGGGAUCCUGAUGUUUAAUCAAUUGACAAGAUCUAGAAUUACCCAGGAGACAAAGCUCUGGGAAUGUCUGUGGAGGGUACUGCCAGAGAAUUUUUAACUAAGAAGCGAAGAUUUAUCAUGAAUGUAGGUGGUAUGAUUCUCUGGGCUGGAAUCCAGGUCUACAAUAAAAAGGUGAAAGCUAGCUGAGUACCAGCAUUCAUUGCUUUCUGCUUCUAAUGGAGGACAUAAGCUCCCAGCUACCUCAAACCUCUAACCAUCAUGUCAGAUCGUAUCCUGGAACUGUGAGUCAAAAUAAACCGUUGUUUCCUUUCUAAA